UACGUAAAAAGCUAGCAUUGUCCGGAAUCAUUGGGCGUAAAGAACGUGUAAACGACCCGGUAAGUCCGCUGUGAAAGUCGAGGGCUCAACCCUCGGAUGCCGGUGGAUACUGUCGGGCUCGAGUACGGAAGAGACGAGUGGAAUUCCUGGUGUAGCAAUGAAAUGCACAAAUAUCAGGAGGAACCCCUAUUGCAAAGGCAGCUCGCUAAGAGGUUCCUGACGCUGAGACCCGAAAGCGUAAAAGCAAACAGG
rnacentral:rRNA from 1 species